rnacentral:lncRNA from 1 species
AAAAUACUUCAAUUUUCUCUUUUCACUGGAGCAGAAUCUCCCCUUAUAUUUUCAUCAAUUUCCUUAUAGGAUGUGUUGCUUUAACUCCAGUAGAGUAUCGUCUUAAUUUUUAAGCAUUUUCUCUUAAAAAUCUGGCAGAGUUUUGGGAUGUUCUUGUGCAAUAUCUUAAGCCCAUAGGUUCUCCCUUAGUUGGCUGUGAGCUUUCAUUUUCUUUUUCUCUUCUUUCUUUAUUUUUCUCCUUUCCUUCUUCCUUUCUCUCUCUUCCUCUCACAAUUUGGGUAGAGUUUUCCCAAGGAAAAUCUCCCAAAUUUAAUCAAUUUUCCUCACUUUUAGUAGGUUUUUUCUCUUUCCCUCUCUUUUUUCCUCUUCUCUUUCUCUAUCUUCUUUCUCUCUUUGACUUUGCUUUCUCUCAACUCCAUAAUGCUUUUCCCAUCUCCCUACACCCCUAUUUAUAGAGGAGGGACAUCCAUGCUUAUCCAGACUCCUUCCAUGUCUUAUCGACUUAUAAAAGCUUCCAUACCAAAUUUGAGCUCCAUUUGAUAUGUUUUUGGCCACUUUAGGCUCAUCUAAAUCUAUGAGGCCCAAAACUGCACUCCAUCCACAUGCCUUCAUUUUAAAUAGCCAUAACUCCGUCAAUUCUUAUGCAUUUCUGGCCCAUUUUAGCUUCACUUGCUUUCCCUAGUUUCAGCUACUUACUAACCAAAUUUGGGCUUAAACUGACCACAUUUGGCCCAUCUAAGGUCCAAAUCGCAAACAAACCUCAAACUUAGGCCCAUGCCUAUAUUUUUAUUUCAAAACUCCAUAACUUGGUUAAUGUUUAAUUGUUUUUGGCAACCUUGUGCUUCACAUGUUCCUCACAUAGGAAACUAUCAAAUGGUUUUUUUUUGGGCUUUGUCUGAGUCCAUUUGGCCCACUUAUGGUCCAAACAUUCCAAAAUGGUUAAAACUGUCCUUCAUGUGCAUGCCUCAUGAUUUGACCUCAUAUCUCCCAAAUUUGCUUCUAUGGACAUUUUCAUUUUCCACACACUUCUUCCUUAAUAUCUUGGCUAGUCCUCAGCCAAUAUUGAGUGUCUAAAUUUGUGUAUUUUGGUCUCGGGACAUAAAUCAAGCCCAAAGGGUCAAUUAAGACUUCUAGGGGGAUUUCCUCCCUCACAUGGGAGAUUUCUACCCUGAUUGUUAAUCCAAUUACUCUCUCAUAUUCCUUAAGUAUUUUCUUACCUUCUACAAUGUUGUUCUAGUUCUGAGAAGUGUUCCUAGGCCUAGAGAACCCAGUUUCCUCCUUGAGAGAAAGUUCUCUUCUUGAGGGGUUCCUUUUACCCUAAUUUCAUCAUCUUCGCUCCAUUUGUCCUGAAACUUAGUCUUUAACCGUAUUACAUCUCUUUGCAUACAUAUACAUGCUUAAAUAGCCAAAUAAAAUAUGAAAACUUUGUCUCGAAAAAAAUUGGGUCAUUACGUAUAAACAUAUCAUCUUUUUAAGUUUAUAAUUGUCAAGUACCGAAUAUCAAAUAUUAGACCUUCUUCAUAGUUGUUUAUCACACAUAUUAUCAUAAUUAUUUUCGAUUUGUAUUAUUAAAAAUAUAAUAAUCAAGAAUCUUUAUAAGUGAUUAGUUAUCCAUGUUCCUUAACUUUCUUGAAUUUAAAAAUAAUAAUCAAGUGUUAGACAUAAUAUAAAUAUUUACUUUGCAGCGAAACUAUACAUCCCAUACAAAGUUUAUAAAAGACUAUAUACUGAGGCCCAAUAGGCUAUCUACAUUUCAAAACACAAAAUAAGAGAUAAACUAGCUAUAAAAUACUAGUCUCAAGUUUAAAAAAAAUAUGGAGUCUGCUCCAAACUACACUUCUCGAAGGGAAUCUAAACAGGGCUCUCUAGUGUUUUCCUCUAAUAUGCAUCUGAGAGGGGGGGUUAGAUUUGGGUGAGUUCUAAUACUCAGUAAGAUAGAAUGAAAUAAUACAACACACAUACGUUUCAAAACCUUCAUUGAUGCAUACUUGAAAAACAAGAGUUUCCUAUUUAAUUACCAUAUCAAAUCAAAUGCCAUAGUCAAAUCCCAUAACCAAUAUUCACAUCCAAGUCAAAUGUUCAUAUCAUAUAAACUAUUACGAGGACGCUUAAUAUCGUACUCGAUGGGUUUACAUAACUCACGUACCCAAAACCAAACUCGUUUUCUGACACAGUUUUAGUACAGUUAUUAUUUUAAUUUAAAUUAGACUGAUUACAAAUCUACGGACGCAGCCGCUUACACAUAUUUCCAAAGAGUGCAAACAGGAUACUAACGAGUCAUGGGUGGAUGUGCAAAUGCUCACAAACAUACAAUCACAGAUAACAAAUACAAAUGCAAUUCUCUAAAAUCUCUCCAUGUCGCCAUCAUUCAUGCCCUUGGGCCCCAGAACAUGAAUAUCAAAUUGCCCAGAGUCCCUAAGGACAACCGAACUACAUGUCCCAUUAAGGAACCAAAACCAACACCCAUAACAUAGUGGCUCCUGAACAAAUAAGUAAAUCAAAUACCCCUUAAAGCAAAUACGGUAAAUCAAAUUUAAACCAUAUUCUAUGUUGAUUUAAUUUUUUUACUUUUAUUUUAUUUAGUUAAAUUCUUAUACUUCAUUUUCUUUCCCUAAAUUCAUAAAUUUGAUUGUAAUUCUGAAAAAUUAAAAUCUUAAUUCUUCUCAAUAUUUUAGUUUAUUUUAUAACUUAUUUAUUUUUUUAUUUUUAUAUUUAAGUCAUAAUAUUACUAAGAGAAUUUAACUAUUUAUUAAGUGAUUUAAUUUUUAUCUUUUCAUUUGAAUUUAAACCAUUCAUCCUUACUAAUUGACCCGUUUUAUCUAAAAUAAUUUUCAUAAUCCCAGAUUUUACAAAUUUCCUUUUUCUUUUAACUCGGGCAGUGCCUGAGGGGCAUUUUUGAACUAUUCUGGGUAUCCAAAAACACCCCACGCAUGCUCGUAAGCUGCAGGAUAGCACACGCCCAGUAGUAGCAGCACCUGGGUGCCGCAUGCUUGUGACAGAACCAUUCGAUUCAAUUCCUUGAUAUUUUUUUCUACUUUCUUUAUUUUCUAAGCAUCAAUCACCAACACCCAUUCACUCUAUUCAUUCAUGCAUAAAAAUAUAAUUAUAAUUUGUAAAAAUCACAUUUCGAGAGACACACAUUAGCUUAACACAUGUAACAUCACCAAAUUAAUUCAAGCAGUUUAAUCGUCAUAUGUAUCUAAAAAUCUCAAAUCAUGCAUCAAUAGAAUUUCUACCAAUCUUGCCCGUUAAACAGACGAGACAGAAGCUAAAUCGCAUGAAAAAUCGAUAGAAAUUCAAGAAUUCUUCUCUGCAACUCACAGUAGAUGUUCUUGCAGAGCAAAGUGAUGAUUUUGAGUUUAAAGUAUUUUUACUUUCAGAAAUAAAAUCCUAACAAUCCUACCAUAUUAUCUUAGUGAUUAACUAUGAGUUUUUAAAUGGAAACACAAAACAUAAGUGGAAUUUGACAAAGAACAGAAUAGAGGAGUCAUUCAGGGGCAGCAGCAGCAACAGUUUUGGGUUCUAGAGCUUGCUGCUACAAUUUGAGAGCUGCAUUUUUGUGUAGAAGUGAUUGUAAGACAUUAAAGAGACAAACAAAACAAUUCAGAAGAAGAAGAAAUAACUUACCUCGGAGAGAAGAAAAAGUUUCUCCUCUCUAUUAUACACACAGAAGGUAUACUAUAUUCUGGUGCGUCACACACACACACACACACUCUCUCUCUCUCUUUCUCUUUCUCUCUCUACUAUUUUCUGCUCUCAACCUCCCCUCUCACUCACUUGUUUAACUGGAAUUUUGGAUUUGAAGAAGAUGAAGACGAAGUUGUGAAGAGAAGGAAGCUUUUAACUAAAUUUGGCCCAUCAUCUGACCGUCCAAACGCAUGUACAACAUCACAGUCGUUGGUGUUUUCGGUGGCCAACCAAGGCUAGCAUGAAAGGCCAAAUUUUUUCUUGACACCUGGCCAGUCCUCACAAAAGCCCACCAUGUGGCUCGGUUAUGACCACAAUUGUGGUGUUAG